UCUGUUGUAUCUGUGGACAUCUUGGGUGCUGCUAUCAGGGUGGUAAUAUGGAACAAGUUUGGUCUGGACACCGUUUCAUUAACAUCCACUGUGUACUUAAAUGGCACAAAAUAUUCCAAAGGAAUGGUGAUCUCAGUUGGGCACACAAGUGGACUACCAGAUUUUGGGAAAGUACUCAAGAUCUGUAUAGUGGAUGGUAGCAUACUUUUCAUUAUUGAACUGUUCACAGCUGGCUUCUUGGAACAUCUAAGGUGUUACCAGCUCACCAAAAAAGACCCUGCAGUAACUGUGGUUGUCCAACCUGAACAGCUGAAUGACUACAUCCCCCUCAUCACAUACCUUGUUGAUGGAAAGCUGCUCAUUACUCCAAGGACGUUCAUGUUACAAUAAGUUACAGCUGUUGAUUUCUCCUCCAAGUUAUUUUCACCUCAAGGUGUGUCACCCUGAGUGCUCCUGAGUCAGCCAAGAAGGAUAAUAUUAAAUAAGUUAAGGUGAACUUUUUUUAAAUAUUUUUUUUACUGUUUUAUUUUUGUACUCACUGCUGGCCUAAUACAAUGACACAAUAUGUUUAAUUCGGACCUUGCUGUUCUUCAUUCAUUGUACAAUUUCAUGACUUUUGUCUAGGGAUGUGCACAAAGAGUCAAAUUUAAAAAAUAUUUGAUCUGUAAUUAGCAAUUAUUGGAAAAAUGAAAAUACUAUUAGAUUUUUUAUAACGUUGCUUUGCUAGCUGUAAAUGCAAUGGACCCAUGAUAAAUAACAAGCACGCAAACUAAAGAUCUGGGACAGUUGAGUAUGGCAGAAUGUCCCAUCGUUACUCACCAAUCGUUAAAGGAUUGUUUACUUUCAAAUGAAAAUUUCCUGAUAAUUUACUUACCCCCAUGUAAUCCAAGAUGUUUAUGUAGGUUUUUGAUGAAAACAUUCCAGGAUUAUUCUCCAUAUAGUGGACUUCAACGGCUUUCAAAUGGUUGAAGGUCAAAAUUACAGUUUAAGUGCAGCAUCAAUGGCUCUACAGGAAACGCACACAUGACCAUUUUAAACAAUAAACUGAAACAAAGACAUUUGAAUCUCCUCAUUUGUAAACACUAGUCGGUGACAAGUGUGACCUUUUCAACGUGAUUUCCAUAGCUUUGCAGAGUAGUGCAAGGUGAGCAUUUGUGUUUA
ensembl:lncRNA